GAGAGAGACAUGUGAAAGAGAGACGUGAAGAGAGAGACGUGUGAAAGAGAGAGAGAGACGUGUGAAAGAGAGAGAGACAUGUGAAAGAGAGAGAGAGACAUGUGAAAGAGAGAGAGACGUGUGAAAGAGAGAGAGAGACGUGUGAAAGAGAGAGAGAGAGACGUGUGAAAGAGAGAGACGUGUGAAAGAGAGAGAGAGACGUGUGAAAGAGAGAGAGGGACGUGUGAAAGAGAGAGAGGGACGUGUGAAAGAGAGAGAGAGACGUGUGAAAGAGAGAGAGGGGCGUGUGAAAGAGAGAGAGAGACGUAUGAAAGAGAGAGAGGGACGUGUGAAAGAGAGAGAGACACGUGUGAAAGAGAGAGAGGGACGUGUGAAAGAGAGAGAGAGACGUGUGAAAGAGAGAGAGGGACGUGUGAAAGAGAGAGUGGGAGGUCAAUCAGUGAAGAACAAACACCAUUGUAAAUACAACCCAUAUUUAUGCUUAUUUAUUUUCCCUUUUGUACUUUAACCAUUUGUACAUCAUUACAAUACUGUAUUUAUACAUAAUGACAUUUGUAAUGUCUUUAUUAUUUUGGAACUUCAGUGAGUGGAAUGUUUACUGUUUAUAUUUAUUGUUUAUUUAACUUUUGUAUAUUAUCUACCUCACUUGCUUUGGCUUAUGUUAACAUAUGUUUCCCAUGCCAAUAAAGCCGCUUGAAUUGAAUUGAGAGGACUGUGUGAAAGAGAGAGAGAGAGAUGCCCACUCACAUACAGCUUAUGCAGCUAGUUCUACUACUGUACAACUCACACACAUAACAUGAAUAUCAAUGUAUAUAGGCAUAAUCACUGAUCAUACUGACCUUUAGUAUUGGUUUGCAUCACAGUCACGGGGGAAAGGGUAGACUCAGUUAAUUUGAUUUUGUUCAUCUAAACCCAAAUAAUGUAUCUCUGUGAUUCAAAGUUUACAGGUAUUAUUGCAUGUUGACUAACCAAUCGCAGUGAAAUUAGAUUAAAUAUAGUCAUGAUCAGUUUCAUAUAUUCCAAUCAUGUACAUUUACUAGAUUGGUUUGACAGCGGCAUUGACGUUGUUGAUUGGCUAGCAAGCAAAACUUGACGUUACACAUCGUUUACUUUUGGGAAAACUGCUCCAGACACUUGCCAGCUAGCUAUCCUUAGUUCAAAUAGCCUAAAGCAAAAUGAUGUAAUAAUAUGAAGCUGACAAUGAU
rnacentral:lncRNA from 1 species